GCUCCCAACAAGCGCAAGUCGAAUUGCCGCAUCCCUCCCCUUCGAUUGGCCCUUCCGCCUUCCUUGCCUGUUCGUUUUCCUCUUUAACGCAAAAAAUCAACAAAAAGAAACUGUUACGCCAGCAAUUAGAAUAUCAGGCGUCGUAAUCAACCCCAUUAAUUUCCUUUUCUCACUUGGAAACCAUUGACCAGGAGCUCCUCCUUCUUCCCGAGUUACUGUUCCUGCGUAUUUGGCUCCAAUGCUGCCAAACUGAGUGGCAAUCCCCAUUGGCAUUUUUUGUACCGUGCCAGUUGUGGUUGCUCGCAUAUUGGAUCAUCAAAUUUGUUGGAUUUUGUGCUCAUUUCUCCACAGGCGUAUGAACUUAUCCAAUGUUUUCCACUAGAGCAUCCUAGGGAUUUUUCCAAUAUUUACGGUAUGUAUCAUGUAUAUGCUUCCAACAUUAUAUAUGUUGUUCUCUCAUGUCUGUUUAUUGGUGUAUCGUUAUUUACUAUUUUUUUACUGGAUUGGCGUAAGCCGAAGUAUUUACACUAUAUAUGUUCUUGAGUGGCAUGCUGUUGGUCGAUUAUUGAAUAAUGUACUAAGCAUGCAUCUAUGUGUUCGCCUAAUCCCUAAGCUUGACAAGUAAAGUUUAUCGGCAUGAAGAAGAAACAUGCAAGUUUGUUGUCCCUACUGAUUUCCUGUCCAAAACUCCAAAUUGAACCAUUUUAGUUAAAAUUUAUUUUACUAGAACCUAAUAUAAUUUGAUAUAUAUUCUCAAAAUAACCGAGUCAGUAAGUAUGGUUUUUCAUCUGCUCCAUUUUCUCAUCAACAUUUUCACCAAUGUCUAAGAAUGCUUGUUGAUUCCCAGUUUCCCACCUUCUCAUGAGGUACAGAGAUAGAUGCUUUAAACCAUGUUCUCACAGUUAACUGGACAAGAGCUAUCUAGAUUAUCUCAUCUCCCCCUUUUUAACACAUGAAUAAAAUGGCAUCAUAUCUACAGUGGUCUUAUUGUUAAGACAAAUAAACUAAUUUUGUGUAAUUUCUUUUUUCUUCCUUGGAUACCUGUCAAAGAGAAUGCAACCCAAAGUUUUUUGUUCCUUUAUUCAUUAGUAAUAAUACACAUGGCUUUUUAUCA